rnacentral:lncRNA from 1 species
GAGACGGAGUCUUCGCUUUGUCACCAGUCUGGAGUGCAGUGGCAUGAUCCCGGCUCACCGCAACCUCUGCCUCCCGGGUUCAAGUGAUUCUCCUGCCUCAGCCUCCUGAGCAGCUGGGACGACAGAGGGCUAUCAUUUGGGACGCAGAGGGAGAAGACAGGACCGUCUCUGGCAAAAGCACACUGCCUUGUUGAUUGUGCAUUGUAGCAGUAAUGUACAAAUGCCAAAGGCAGAAUGAGGCAGAAUGACACUGGACAAUCACUGUGGGAGGAGGAAGAUGAGUUUAAAGUAAAGAUCAAAUUCUCCAGUCUGUCCUGAAAUGAAUCACAUGCUCAAGAACACAUCUCCAACUCUGCUUCUGAGAAAACAGACCUGAGACAAUGAUCUUCACUGGUUAUGUCUGCUUCCAAAAUGUGGUUUCUAUUGCUCUUACAGAAAGAACUAGUCAUUAUUGAGUACCAAAUAAAUGUCAGGUUUAUUGUAUAUGUUAUCUGUUUUAUCCUCCAAGCAAUUCUAUUGGGUGGGUAUUGCUACCUCAUUCUACGAAGAGAAUUCUUACUAAAGAAAGCUUAAAAGCCAGGUGCGGUGGCUCACGCCUGUAAUCCCAGCACUUUGGGAGACCCAGGUGGGCGGAUCAUGAGGUCAGGAGAUCGAGACCAUCCUGGCUAACACGGUGAAACCCUGUCUCUACUA